GAACCCUACGGGAGGCAGCAGUGAGGAAUAUUGGUCAAUGGGCGAGAGCCUGAACCAGCCAAGUCGCGUGAGGGAAGACGGUCCUAUGGAUUGUAAACCUCUUUUGUCGGGGAGCAAAAAGGCCUCGUGAGGCCACAAGCGAGAGUACCCGAAGAAAAAGCAUCGGCUAACUCCGUGCCAGCAGCCGCGGUAAUACGGAGGGUGCGAGCGUUAAUCGGAAUUACUGGGCGUAAAGCGCACGUAGGCUGUAUGACAAGUCAAGGGUGAAAUGCCACGGCUCAACCGUGGAACUGCCUUUGAAACUG
rnacentral:rRNA from 1 species